rnacentral:rRNA from 1 species
CCUACGGGUGGCAGCAGUGAGGAAUAUUGGUCAAUGGACGAGAGUCUGAACCAGCCAAGUAGCGUGAAGGAUGACUGCCCUAUGGGUUGUAAACUUCUUUUAUAUGGGAAUAAAAUGUUCCACGUGUGGGAUUUUGUAUGUACCAUAUGAAUAAGGAUCGGCUAACUCCGUGCCAGCAGCCGCGGUAAUCCGGAGGAUCCGAGCGUUAUCCGGAUUUAUUGGGUUUAAAGGGAGCGUAGGUGGAGUGUUAAGUCAGUUGUGAAAGUUUUCGGCUCAACCGUAAAAUUGCAGUUGAAACUGGCAGUCUUGAGUACAGUAGAGGUGGGCGGAAUUCGUGGUGUAGCGGUGAAAUGCUUAGAUAUCACGAAGAACUCCGAUUGCGAAGGCAGUUCACUGGACUGCAACUGACACUGAGGCUCGAAAGUGUGGGUAUCAAACAGGAUUAGAUACCCGAGUAGUC